GAUGAACGCUGGCGGCGUGCUUAACACAUGCAAGUCGAACGGAAAGGCCCAAGCUUGCUUGGGUACUCGAGUGGCGAACGGGUGAGUAACACGUGGGUGAUCUGCCCUGCACUUCGGGAUAAGCCUGGGAAACUGGGUCUAAUACCGGAUAGGACCACUUCUUGGAUGUUGUGGUGGAAAGAUUUUUCGGUGUGGGAUGAGCUCGCGGCCUAUCAGCUUGUUGGUGGGGUAAUGGCCUACCAAGGCGUCGACGGGUAGCCGGCCUGAGAGGGUGUACGGCCACAUUGGGACUGAGAUACGGCCCAGACGCCUACGGGAGGCAGCAGUGGGGAAUAUUGCACAAUGGGCGCAAGCCUGAUGCAGCGACGCCGCGUGGGGGAUGACGGCCUUCGGGUUGUAAACUCCUUUCGCUAGGGACGAAGCGUUUUGUGACGGUACCUGGAGAAGAAGCACCGGCUAACUACGUG
rnacentral:rRNA from 1 species